UAGCGUCACUUCCUGUUAUGGCGCCGAUUGGCCCACACUCAGGAGUGUGGGCGUGGCGCCAGGGUUCGGAGUCGGCAAGUUUGGGGCUGGACUGUUGAACCAUGGCUGCGAUCAAAAUCGCUAACCCUGGCGCUGAAGUGACCCGGAGCCAAGCGGCCUUGGCUGUGAACAUCUGCGCCGCCCGUGGGCUGCAGGAUGUGCUGCGUCCCACCUUGGGUCCUAAGGGCGCGCUAAAAAUGCUUGUUUCUGGGGCAGGUGACAUCAAACUCACCAAAGACGGCAAUGUACUGCUUCAUGAGAUGCAAAUUCAACACCCAACGGCUUCCAUCAUUGCAAAAGUGGCAGCAGCCCAAGACCAUGUCACAGGGGAUGGCACUACCUCAAAUGUCCUGAUCAUUGGAGAGUUGCUAAAGCAAGCUGAUCUUUACAUUUCUGAGGGCCUGCACCCUAGAAUCAUAACUGAAGGAUUUGAUGUUGCAAAGACGAAAGCACUUGAAGUUUUGGAUGAAAUUAAAGUACAAAAGGAGAUGAAAAGAGAAAUCCUCUUGGAUGUGGCUAGAACAUCCCUGCAGACGAAAGUUCAUGCUGAACUGGCCGACAUACUAACAGAGGCUGUGGUGGAUUCUGUCUUGGCUAUCAGAAGACCAGGUGUCCCUAUUGAUCUCUUCAUGGUGGAAAUUGUGGAGAUGAGGCACAAGUCAGAAACGGACACACAGUUGAUCCGAGGAUUGGUUUUGGACCAUGGUGCCCGUCAUCCAAGGAUGAGGAAGCAGGUGCGAGAUGCAUACAUCCUCACUUGCAAUGUCUCACUAGAGUAUGAAAAAACAGAAGUGAGCUCUGGUUUCUUUUAUAAGACUGUAGAAGAGAAAGAGAAAUUGGUAAAAGCUGAAAGAAAAUUUAUUGAAGAUAGAGUGCAGAAAAUAAUAGACCUAAAGCAGAAAGUCUGUGCUGAGUCCAAUAAAGGAUUUGUUGUCAUUAAUCAAAAGGGCAUCGAUCCGGUUUCCUUAGAAAUGCUUGCAAAACAUAACAUCGUAGCUCUUCGCAGGGCAAAAAGAAGGAAUCUUGAAAGGCUCACCCUUGCUUGUGGAGGAUUGGCUGUCAACUCCUUUGAAGGCCUGAGUGAAGAGUGCCUGGGGCACGCUGGCCUUGUCUUCGAGUACGCAUUGGGUGAAGAAAAGUUCACUUUUAUUGAGGACUGUGUAAAUCCGCUCUCUGUCACCUUGUUGGUCAAAGGGCCAAAUAAGCAUACUCUCAUACAGAUCAAGGACGCCUUAAGAGAUGGACUCCGUGCGGUCAAAAAUGCUAUUGAAGACGGCUGUGUGGUUCCAGGGGCUGGGGCAGUGGAAGUUGCGAUAGCAGAAGCUCUUGUUAACUACAAGCACCGUGUGCAGGGAAGAGUUCGCCUGGGGAUCCAAGCCUUUGCUGAUGCCUUGCUCAUCAUCCCGAAGGUUCUUGCUCAGAAUUCUGGUUAUGACCUGCAGGAAACACUGAUAAAAAUUCAAACUAAACAUGCCGAAUCAAAAGAACUCCUGGGCAUAGACCUGAACACAGGGGAGCCGAUGGCAGCAGCAGAAGCAGGAAUCUGGGAUAAUUACUGUGUGAAAAAACAUCUUCUUCACUCUUGCACGGUGAUUGCCACCAACAUCCUCCUGGUUGAUGAAAUUAUGCGAGCUGGGAUGUCUUCUCUUAGAGACUGAUUGAAUUCCAAAUCAAUUCAUCUGGAAGACAAGAUUUUAUACGUGUCAUACCCAGCAGCGUCACAUGGCCUUAACUGUUAGAAAAUAAAGAGACCUUUCCUGGACCACAGGAGGAAGGAAAAGAACUCUUGGUUGACUGAAGCCUCAUUAUUGUCAUUUCUGGCAAGUUGAGCCUUGAGCACCCCAACGUACAGAAUGCCUGCUGGAGCGUAGCGGGGAGCACACAGAAGCCCCAGCCCUAGGAAAGCUUGCCUCACCACCUCUGGAUCCCAGGAAUGAUAUCAACUGUGCUGAACAGUGACUUAGAAGAGUUGGACUCUAAGGAUAAAGUUUGCAGAGUGCCUUAUUCAUCUUGCCUAAGCUUUAUUUAGUAUGAAUCCACUGACAGUGAUCUAUGGUAAAGUCGGUAUAAACAAGUCCUAAAAGCUCCUCUGGUAAGGAUAAAUAAAGUGUAUGAGUGUCAAGAAAGCAUUGUCAUGGUUGAAGUGACAAUAUAUUUUUCUCUUAGUGUAUAAAAAGAUGGCACGUCUCAUAGGCAGUGAUGUUUUAGAUUUGAUGAAAUAUUACAUUUUAUCCAUUUCUGGCUCAAUGCUAAUAUCUAUUUAGAAAGGUUUUGGGGGGGGUGCGUUUUUAUUGAAUUGAAAACUCAAAUGGCAGCAAAUAAGCAGUGAGUGAGCAAGCAACUUCCUCUUGCCACAGCAAAUGCAUUCAGUUCUCAGAUGUAUAGCUCUGGCUGAUACGUGGCUUGUUUUCCUUUCUAAGUUAGGUGACCGCCAGUGUUGAGCUUACAGCAUGAGUUAUCUGGGGAGCAUCUUUGUCUUUCCCGUGGCACAGUUUUAGCCAUGAUGAUGAAGGGUUUUCUGUUUCCUGAAAGCUUGGUCUGGCCUAGCAGUGUUUAAAUGGAGAAUAGACUUUUGACUCAAUUUUCUUUAUUGCUUGAGGUCUCAGAUUUUCUAUCAUUUUGAGACUGUUUUGGUAAUUUAUAUUUUUAUAGAAAUCCACUAUAAAAUUUUUUUUUUAAAGAUUUAUUUUUUAUUAUUAUAUCUAAGUACACUGUAGCUGUCUUCAGAUGCACCAGAAGAGGACAUCAUAUUUCAUUACAGAUGGUUGUGAGCCACCAUAUGGUUGCUGAGAUUUGAACUCAGGACCUUCAGAAGAGCAGUCGGUGCUCUUAACCACUGAGCCAUCUCUCCAGCCCCCAAAAUUUUUUUUCCUUAAGGUUUAUUUGUGCUACCUCUUUUGAUGUGGGGAGUGAGAAAGGGCAUUUUAUUUUUAUUUUUGAUAUGUUGUGGAUUGAACAUAUCUAGGGCCUUGCAUGUGCUUGCAUCUGCCACUGAGCUACAUCCCUAGCUCUAGAUAAUAUCUUUCUUAAGGUUUUGGUUAAUUUUUUCCUUAUUACUGACACGAAUUUAUUUCUAACACAUAGUUCUGGUGUUCUUAAAUCUAUAAACUUCACUGUUAUCAUCUUAACUCAUUUAAAAUCAUAAUUGUGUUGGGGCACACAUGCCACAGUGAGCAUGUGUGGUCAGAGUUGGUAACUGGAGUUGGUUCUCUCACGCCUUCUUUCUAAGUUCCUGUAGCCAGCUGAACUACCCCACUCCUUUCAUUAUAUCCAAUUUUGUCUGGUGCCCUUCUUCUUCCUCUGCAGGUUUGAAAAUGAUACAUUCAGACCCUAAGCCCCUGUCCAGAUCUCUCUCACUCAUUUUUAUCUCUUCUAUAUUAAAUCUCCAGUGCCAGUUAAGCAGACCAGCUCUGUCCCCCUCUGCUCUGAUUCCUAUUUUCUUUUAUUCUCUAUUCUUUUUUUUUUCAUUUUCUUUUUGAUAGAUCUUCCCAAAGAACAUAAAUGAGACUACUUUUUUGAGAGAGGUCUCUGUGCCUCAGCCUUUCAGGAGGCCGAUUGCUUAGUUGACUUAAUUGAAUUGAUUUGCCUUUCUUCUUAUACUUAUUCUUUUAGCCAGAGGCCGCACCUCUCCUCUUACCCCACUCCCAUCCAUACAAAGCACAAAGCAACACAUGAGAUCCUAUGGGGUACCAUGAGAGGGGAAAUCUGUGAAUCAUGGGCAUAGAAGAAUAACUUUGCACUAAAAGAAUAGAAAAAUUUCAGUAAGGUCAUAGCAGAAAAUUGACCAAAUUUAGUGGUAGAGGUGCUCAUCCCAGGUAUAGGGGGCCUGUAGAACACCUAACAUACAAGGCUAGAAAAGAACCCCCAUGACAAAUAGUUAAAAACACCGAAUUUACAGAUCAAAGAAACCAUAUUGAAAACAGCAAAAGAGAAACCAGUUAUACAUAAAGACUGGUCCAUCAGAAUAACCCUGGAAUUCUCAAC